rnacentral:rRNA from 1 species
UUCGAGUGGCGGACGGGUGAGUAACGCGUGGGUAACCUGCCUUACACAGGGGGAUAACACCUGGGAAACAGGUGCUAAUACCGCAUAAGCGCACAGGGCCGCAUGGCCCGGUGUGAAAAACUCCGGUGGUGUAAGAUGGACCCGCGUCUGAUUAGCUUGUUGGCGGGGUAGGGGCCCACCAAGGCGACGAUCAGUAGCCGGCCUGAGAGGGUGGACGGCCACAUUGGGACUGAGACACGGCCCAAACUCCUACGGGAGGCAGCAG